ensembl:lncRNA
CUCUCUGUGUUCUGGUCUUUGCGGGACUCCCUUGAUUUUCCAAUAUUCUGAUAAGCCUUAUCACUCACUCAGUUACUCGACAGUGUUUAAAACAGACAAAGGAAGGAUUCAGCCAAGUGUGUAUCCUGUAAAGCCUGAAGGGAAUGGAUAUCAGACUUCCUGUUCUGUUCUCAGUGAAACGACACAAACACGUUGCUUCAGAACUGGCUAAGAGAUGCACAUGGAGGAGGUUGGCUAGCUGGUUCAGCAUGAUUAGCACCCUUGGAAGCAGAAAGAGUUUUCACGGUGCCAUAUUGUCGGUGGUAAAAGAGGAGAGAAUAAAGAUGCAUCAGUCGAAGCUCUCUGCGUCACGUGUGGUAAUUCCAAGUGGGCAGCUACAUGGUCCUUCGAGCCGGAUGUUCUAAAAGCCCUGGAAUCAGAUUUUGCUGAGAGAACCUAUGAGAACAAAUAUGUG